AGAGUUUGAUCCUGGCUCAGGAUGAACGCUAGCGACAGGCUUAACACAUGCAAGUCGAGGGGCAGCACAGGGUAGCAAUACUUGGGUGGCGACCGGCGCACGGGUGAGUAACGCGUAUGCAACUUACCUAUCAGAGGGGGAUAACCCGGCGAAAGUCGGACUAAUACCGCAUGAAGCAGGGGCCCCGCAUGGGGAUAUUUGCUAAAGAUUCAUCGCUGAUAGAUAGGCAUGCGUUCCAUUAGGCAGUUGGCGGGGUAACGGCCCACCAAACCGACGAUGGAUAGGGGUUCUGAGAGGAAGGUCCCCCACAUUGGUACUGAGACACGGACCAAACUCCUACGGGAGGCAGCAGUGAGGAAUAUUGGUCAAUGGCCGAGAGGCUGAACCAGCCAAGUCGCGUGAAGGAAGAAGGAUCUAUGGUUUGUAAACUUCUUUUAUAGGGGAAUAAAGUGGAGGACGUGUCCUUUUUUGUAUGUACCCUAUGAAUAAGCAUCGGCUAACUCCGUGCCAGCAGCCGCGGUAAUACGGAGGAUGCGAGCGUUAUCCGGAUUUAUUGGGUUUAAAGGGUGCGUAGGUGGUGAUUUAAGUCAGCGGUGAAAGUUUGUGGCUCAACCAUAAAAUUGCCGUUGAAACUGGGUUACUUGAGUGUGUUUGAGGUAGGCGGAAUGCGUGGUGUAGCGGUGAAAUGCAUAGAUAUCACGCAGAACUCCGAUUGCGAAGGCAGCUUACUAAACCAUAACUGACACUGAAGCACGAAAGCGUGGGGAUCAAACAGGAUUAGAUACCCUGGUAGUCCACGCAGUAAACGAUGAUCACUAGCUGUUUGCGAUACAGUGUAAGCGGCACAGCGAAAGCGUUAAGUGAUCCACCUGGGGAGUACGCCGGCAACGGUGAAACUCAAAGGAAUUGACGGGGGCCC
rnacentral:rRNA from 2 species